CUUUGUCUCCAAGAUUUGGCAACCUCUCAGCCUCUAGCUGUUGAAGACCUCAAAUCCCAUAAUUCUAAGUGCGAGCAAGCAGGCUUUGGAAUUGAAUAAUUGGGGUUGCGGUCAACACAUACAGCAAAAAUCACAGAGGUUUGGCUUUUAUUGCUUGUUGCUAAAUGUGUUUUUGUAUAAUACGGCACUGAGACAAGGAAAUAGAAGGACAUGAUGAUCUAUGUAUGUAGGGGUGGAGCUAAAUGCUGAUGUUGAACAGUGUUAUGGGUAGCUGUCUCGAUUACUAAUGUGACACUUGACUGCAGUGGCAUUUUUUUCUACUCCUUCACAUGGCUAUCUAGGAUGUAAACAUAUCCACUUUCUGGUAAACUUCACCUGUUUUUUGUACGAACUUGCUCAUUUUAACAAUAUUAGGGUGAUUUUUUUGUGUAUGUCCCACAUACACGAUUAAAACACCUUUGGGAGUGUGCAUGUCCACCUGCAGCCUUCUUGUUUAUGAUACACUAUAUCCUGGUACAUUGACCACAAGCCACUGCCGCGGGUACACUUGCCCUUUCCAAGUGAAAUGUUAAUGCCUGUUCUAUAGACUGAUGAGCACUGUCCAGUCCCGAUGGCCAUAUUCACCAUUCAUUGAACUGAUAUUUACCAUAAAUUACAAAACUUAGCCAAAAAUAACAACGUUUGAAAUAUUAUGUGUUUGUUGUAUUCUCUCCAUCCUUAGCAUAUUUGUUACUUAAUGUCUCCUUCAUGUUGUGUCUCUUCUCUUCAUUUUCUCCUCCUAUUUAUCACCAUUUCUUCCACUUAUUUGUCUUUCUCACCCCUAAGUCCAUAUCGCUCUUAAUUUUCAUUACUCUUGCUUUUCUUGACAUCAGUCACAAUUUAUGACCUCUACACUGCUUUACUCCUGUGAGUCUCCACAUUCACCCCCAAUUAUCUGUGUUUCAUCUCCCAUCAACUAAUGUAUCUCUCUCUUCAGCUAUCCACCUUCCCACUCAUGACUCUCCCUCUCAUUUAUUUUACUUUGUUUCCAUUUACUCAUAUUUAUAAGUGUAUUUUCUUAAUUCCACCCUUUAUUUUCUUCAACUUUGUGUUCUGUCCUUCCCCAAGUUCACCACCUCUCCACAUUACUCCCAAUUCCAUAUCUCUCUCUUCAUUUCUUUACUUUUUUGUUUUGCUUACCAGCACUAGAAUGUAUCACUGAUAAAUAUCUGUGCCCACAUUUCUGAAUUAAAGGAAGAUCCACC